rnacentral:rRNA from 1 species
AGUGAACGCUGGCGGUAGGCCUAACACAUGCAAGUCGAACGGCAGCACAGUAAGAGCUUGCUCUUACGGGUGGCGAGUGGCGGACGGGUGAGGAAUACAUCGGAAUCUACUUUUUCGUGGGGGAUAACGUAGGGAAACUUACGCUAAUACCGCAUACGACCUACGGGUGAAAGCAGGGGAUCUUCGGACCUUGCGCGAUUGAAUGAGCCGAUGUCGGAUUAGCUAGUUGGCGGGGUAAAGGCACACCAAGGCGACGAUCCGUAGCUGGUCUGAGAGGAUGAGCAGCCACACUGGAAUUGAGACACGGUCCAGACUCCGACGGGAGGCAGAAGUGGGGAAUAUUGGACAAUGGGCGCAAGCCUAAUCCAGCCAUACCGCGUGGGUGAAGAAGGCCUUCGGGUUGUAAAGGCAUUUUGUUGGGAAAGAAAAGCAGGAGGUUAAUACCCCGCUGUUCUGACGGUACCCAAAGAAUAAGCACCGGCUAACUUCGUG